rnacentral:rRNA from 1 species
UAUAGAGUUACAAACUCCAAAACCCGUGUGAACGUACCAUCGUUGCCUCGGUGGGUUGAGCUACCCUGUAGGCCUUACCGCCUACCCUGUAGUAAAAUAGGAUGAGCUACCCUGUAGCGAAAUCCGCCCGCCAGAGGACCUCUAAACUCUUGUUAUUCAUGAAACUCUGAGAAACUAUACAAAUAAGUUAAAACUUUCAACAACGGAUCUCUUGGUUCUGGCAUCGAUGAAGAACGCAGCGAAAUGCGAUAAGUAAUGUGAAUUGCAGAAUUCAGUGAAUCAUCGAAUCUUUGAACGCACAUUGCGCCCAUUAGUAUUCUAGUGGGCAUGCCUGUUCGAGCGUCAUUUCGACCAUUAAGCCUAGCUGCUUAGCGUUGGGAGCUUACCGCCGUAACUCCCUAAAAUCAGUGGCGGAGCCGGGUCAGACUCUAAGCGUAGUAAUUCUUUCUCGCUUCUGUAGCUGGCCUCUCUCCCGCCGUAAAACCUUUUUUUAUACGUGGUUGACCUCGGAUCAGGUAGGAAUACCCGCUGAACUUAAGCAUAUCAAUAAGCGGAGGAAAAGAAACCAACAGGGAUUGCCCUAGUAACGGCGAGUGAAGCGGCAACAGCUCAAAUUUGAAAUCUGGCCCUAGCGGUCCGAGUUGUAAUUUGUAGAGGAUGCUUUUGGCGCGGUGCCUUCCG